rnacentral:tRNA from 1 species
UGUGGAGUAGGGCAGUUCGGUCAGCCCGCCAGCCUCAUAAGCUGGAGGCCGUGGGUUCAAAUCCCACCUCCGCAAC